AUCGCUAAAACCCUUUAUUUAAACGUUGUUUGCUGCUCAAUGCUUUGCCAAUCUGGAUCUUCCUGAAAGCGAUGAUUUCCUGUCACCUUCUCGAUUCAUAGAAUGCACAAGGAGAUAUAAACAGAUGCAGAAAGUGAGAAGGUUGGCUUACCAGCCCAUUGCAUAUCUUUCUUUUAUUGCCUUGGCGUCAAAUGGACCUACCGAUAUUCAAAUCUCCCUUCUGUUUUUUUUUUUAAAUGAUUGUUUGUGUAUUUGCUUGUUUUGUAAGCAUUUAUUUGCUCAGUAGAAUCAUAUAGUCAUAAUUUGUUUGAGAAAAAUGGUAAAUGAUGAUUGUUGUCUUAUCCUACACACUGAUUAAUCGUGUUGAUUACAACUCCGCUUAUUGUCUGAUGCCACUAUUUGAAUUCAAUAUAUAUAUAUAUAUUUAGUAAUUGUUUACUUAAAUUUUAUUUUUCUGAUUUUGAUUUUUGUUUACGGUAUUUCUCUUAUUAAAUCUUGAUUUUAUUUGGUUGAUGCUAUAUUGGGUGUUUGAUGUUUGUGUUCAAAUGGGUAAUUGGGUGGUCUUAUGUUGGAGUGCUUUUUAUUUUCUUUUUUUAUUUGUCUUUUAAUUACUUCUGGUUUUCAUGUGGGCUCAAGAAUAGUAAUGUUCUUAGCUCCUUCUUUUUCAUCAAAUUUGUAGGAAUAAAAUUUGGUUAAAAGCUUGAUUUGAUUUGGAAUACUCUAAUUUGUUUUUUCUUGAAAAUUUCUAAAUAUAUCCUAAAAUCAUGUUUUAAUCAUUUUUUAUGAAAGAAAAUAUCUUCAAUCUUUGCUCUUUUUAAAAUUUCAUCAAAUUUUAGUAAAAAUAUAAUUUUUGAGAAUUUGGUGAAUAGUUUGGUUCAUCUUUGAUUGGUGAAAAAUUGCCCAUAUUUGACAAAAUGGUUGGAGCAUAUUUUGGAAAUGCUCUAAGGGCACCCAUGCUUAUUUUUUUUCUUCAUAAAAUUUAAAAUUUGAUGAAAUAGUGUUAAAAAAUCAUCUCUAAUCUUUUCAUCAAAUGUUUAUCAAAUUAAGAGAAUUUUUCAUGGAAUUUGAGAUGUCAUUAAAUCCAAAUUUGACGAAAAUUUAAAAAGAUAUAGCAUUGAAGAUGAAUUUUAUUUAUUUAUCAAAUUUCAUGAACAAAAAAAUCUGUGUUAAGAAGGGAAUUUUUAAAAUGAUUUUUAUGAAAAUUUGAUGGAAGAUUAAUACAUAUCAAAUCAAAUCGUUUACUCCAAUAUGUAAUCGAAUUAGAUAAAAGUGGUAGUCAGGGGUUAGAGAUGCUCUAAUAUGAAAAAUGAAAAGUUUGCAUUAUUUUAUAAACUUUUGAUGAAUGAUGUAUUCUUUUAAAUGCUAUUAACAAUGGUUAACAUAAGUUGUUCACAUUCUACACCUGUAAGCGUGUUUCAAAUAGUUGUUUGGUCUUUGGUUUACACCUAAACCAAAUAAACCAAAACCAUGCUCACCGCCAGUUGUAGGGUGGGCAGGCAUGUGAUGUAAUUAAUCUUACCCAACCAUGAUACAAAACUCUGUUAUCCCUCACCUCCACUAUCCUCUAUAUAUACGUGGAGUUUAGUGAUUGAAGAGAAAGAAAAAAAAAAAAAUUU